rnacentral:rRNA from 1 species
ACUACGGGUGGCAGCAGUGGGGAAUAUUGGGCAAUGGGCGCAAGCCUGACCCAGCAACGCCGCGUGAAGGAAGAAGGCUUUCGGGUUGUAAACUUCUUUUCUCAGGGACGAAGCAAGUGACGGUACCUGAGGAAUAAGCCACGGCUAACUACGUGCCAGCAGCCGCGGUAAUACGUAGGUGGCAAGCGUUAUCCGGAUUUACUGGGUGUAAAGGGCGUGUAGGCGGGAAAGCAAGUCAGAUGUGAAAACCAUGGGCUCAACCUGUGGCCUGCAUUUGAAACUGUUUUUCUUGAGUACUGGAGAGGCAGACGGAAUUCCUAGUGUAGCGGUGAAAUGCGUAGAUAUUAGGAGGAACACCAGUGGCGAAGGCGGUCUGCUGGACAGCAACUGACGCUGAGGCGCGAAAGCGUGGGGAGCAAACAGGAUUAGAUACCCGGGUAGUC